AUUGAACGCUGGCGGCAGGCCUAACACAUGCAAGUCGAACGAGUGGCGGACGGGUGAGUAAUGUCUGGGACACUGCCUGAUGGAGGGGGAUAACUACUGGAAACGGUAGCUAAUACCGCAUACCCUCAGAUGUGCCCAGAUGGGAUUAGCUGGUUUGUGGGGUAACGGCUCACCAAGGCCGCGAUCCCUAGCUGGUUUGAGAGGGUGACCAGCCACACUGGAAGUGGACAACGGGCCAGACUCCUACGUGAGGCAGCAGUGGGGAAUAUUGCACAAGGGGGGGAAGCCUGAUGCAGCCAUGCCGCUGGUAAGGAGGAGGCCUUCGGGUUGUAAAGUAAUUUCAGCGGGGGGGCGUUACCCGCAGAAGAAGCACCGGCUAACUCCGUGCCAGCAGCCGCGGUAAUUC
rnacentral:rRNA from 1 species